rnacentral:lncRNA from 1 species
UGGUCAUCCCGCCUCAGCCACCUACUACAGGACCGCCAAGAAAAGAAGUUCCCAAAACCACUCCUAGUGAGCCCAAGAAAAAGCAGCCUCCACCACCAGAAUCAGGUCCAGAGCAGAGCAAACAGAAAAAAGUGGCUCCCCGCCCAAGUAUCCCUGUAAAACAAAAACCAAAAGAAAAGGAAAAACCACCUCCGGUCAAUAAGCAGGAGAAUGCAGGCACUUUGAACAUCCUCAGCACUCUCUCCAAUGGCAAUAGUUCUAAGCAAAAAAUUCCAGCAGAUGGAGUCCACAGGAUCAGAGUGGACUUUAAGG